ACACACACACUUAUUUAUUUUUUUCAGAAAUGUAGUAUAGACUUUUUGUGUAUCAUUUUGUAAUGCAAGCAUAUCUACACGUAAAUAAAUAUAUAUAUAUUUAGUGCGUCUUCUGACUUACCCUUGUUCUGCGAUAACAACCUUCACGAAGUCUUCUUCGGUCACCACCUAAGUGGUCUCUACAAACAAGGGGCAUGUUCAUUUUCAGUGGCCGGAGCCAUGAGCAGGUUUGAAGUGUCCCGUUAACUUAAUGGUCAUCCUUGCUUCCUACCAAAUCAGACUUGAUAAUGGCAGAUUGCAUAAAGGAAAUGUAAGCUGGUAUACACAAAGACGCUGGAACCUGUGUAUCUUCGUUUUGAAGGACUUCUUGCAGCGAUAGUGGGUUCCUCUUCUCACGCUGGCAUAACUUUCAAGAACAGGUGGUUUGCGGAGAAAGUGUUUUUGUAACGAAAACAUUUAUAGUUUUUUUUUUUUUUUUAAAUUGUAAAAACACAACCAGAUACUAUAAAAAGAGGUAAGUUGCUAUUUACAUACAUGCAGGCCGUACACAUCAAACUUUUCUGGGAUAAAUACACACUAUAUAAUACAUAAAAUAUAAAGAUGCGACAGUUUUCAGUUUCUUGGAGGAAGAGUAGAUAAUCUAUUUGCACAUAAGUGCUUCAAUUUAACACAAGUCCGUCCUAUUAAACUGAGAAAAGAUAAUCUAUCUGCAAAUAAUUACUUCCCUUUAAUGCAAGACUGUCCUGUUUAAGCUGUUCACAAUCGUACUAAAGUGUCCACCAUGUGUGGAUUCAUCUACAGUGAAAUUAUAUUAUGUAAAUACUACCACGGAACCCAUUAUUGUUUUAAACUUUAUUUUCAUAUGUUAUUCAAUAAAUUUUAAAGUUGAACUCAA